GAAGGGGGCAAGAGCAUGAAGGACUGCUAAUUCUCCACCCAGUGGUUAAACUCCCCAGACCCU
rnacentral:tRNA from 1 species